rnacentral:rRNA from 1 species
GACGAACGCUGGCGGCGUGCUUAACACAUGCAAGUCGAACGGAAAGGCCCUGCUUUUGUGGGGUGCUCGAGUGGCGAACGGGUGAGUAACAAGUGAGUAACCUGCCCUUGACUUUGGGAUAACUUCAGGAAACUGGGGCUAAUACCGGAUAGGAGCUCCUGCUGCAUGGUGGGGGUUGGAAAGUUUCGGCGGUUGGGGAUGGACUCGCGGCUUAUCAGCUUGUUGGUGGGGUAGUGGCUUACCAAGGCUUUGACGGGUAGCCGGCCUGAGAGGGUGACCGGCCACAUUGGGACUGAGAUACGGCCCAGACUCCUACGGGAGGCAGCAGUGGAGAAUAUUGCACAAUGGGCGGAAGCCUGAUGCAGCAACGCCGCGUGCGGGAUGACGGCCUUCGGGUUGUAAACCGCUUUCGCCUGUGACGAAGCGUGAGUGACGGUAAUGGGUAAAGAAGCACCGGCUAACUACGUG